GCGGUUGUGGUGGAACGGCAGACACGCUAUCUUGAGGGGGUAGUGCCCACCGGGCGUAUGGGUUCAAGUCCCAUCAACCGCACCA
rnacentral:tRNA from 2 species